UACGUAGGGUGCAAGCGUUAAUCGGAAUUACUGGGCGUAAAGCGUGCGCAGGCGGUUAUGUAAGACAGUUGUGAAAUCCCCGGGCUCAACCUGGGAAUUGCAUUUGUGACUGCAUAGCUAGAGUACGGUAGAGGGGGAUGGAAUUCCGCGUGUAGCAGUGAAAUGCGUAGAUAUGCGGAGGAACACCGAUGGCGAAGGCAAUCCCCUGGACCUGUACUGACGCUCAUGCACGAAAGCGUGGGGAGCAAACAGG
rnacentral:rRNA from 1 species